GUGUGUGAAGAAGGCCUUAUGGUUGUAAAGCACUUUAAGCGAGGAGGAGGCUACUUUAGUUAAUACCUAGAGAUAGUGGACGUUACUCGCAGAAUAAGCACCGGCUAACUCUGUGCCAGCAGCCGCGGUAAUACAGAGGGUGCAAGCGUUAAUCGGAUUUACUGGGCGUAAAGCGCGCGUAGGCGGCUAAUUAAGUCAAAUGUGAAAUCCCCGAGCUUAACUUGGGAAUUGCAUUCGAUACUGGUUAGCUAGAGUGUGGGAGAGGAUGGUAGAAUUCCAGGUGUAGCGGUGAAAUGCGUAGAGAUCUGGAGGAAUACCGAUGGCGAAGGCAGCCAUCUGGCCUAACACUGACGCUGAGGUGCGAAAGCAUGGGGAGCAAACAGGAUUAGAUACCCUGGUAGUCCAUGCCGUAAACGAUGUCUACUAGCCGUUGGGGCCUUUGAGGCUUUAGUGGCGCAGCUAACGCGAUAAGUAGACCGCCUGGGGAGUACGGUCGCAAGACUAAAACUCAAAUGAAUUGACGGGGGCCCGCACAAGCGGUGGAGCAUGUGGUUUAAUUCGAUGCAACGCGAAGAACCUUACCUGGCCUUGACAUAGUAAGAACUUUCCAGAGAUGGAUUGGUGCCUUCGGGAACUUACAUACAGGUGCUGCAUGGCUGUCGUCAGCUCGUGUCGUGAGAUGUUGGGUUAAGUCCCGCAACGAGCGCAACCCUUUUCCUUAUUUGCCAGCGAGUAAUGUCGGGAACUUUAAGGAUACUGCCAGUGACAAACUGGAGGAAGGCGGGGACGACGUCAAGUCAUCAU
rnacentral:rRNA from 1 species